rnacentral:rRNA from 1 species
CCUACGGGAGGCAGCAGUGAGGAAUAUUGGUCAAUGGUCGGGAGACUGAACCAGCCAAGCCGCGUGAGGGAGGAAGGUACAGAGUAUCGUAAACCUCUUUUGUCAGGGAACAAAGGCGGGGACGUGUCCCCGGAUGAGUGUACCUGAAGAAAAAGCAUCGGCUAACUCCGUGCCAGCAGCCGCGGUAAUACGGGGGAUGCGAGCUUUAUCCGGUUUUAUUGGGUUUAAGGGGUGCGCAGGCGGUCUGUUAAGUCAGCGGGCAAAGCCCGGGGCUCAACCCCGGCCCGCCGUUGAAACUGGCAGUCUCGAGUUGGAGAGAAGUAGGCGGAAUGCGCGGUGUAGCGGUGAAAUGCAUAGAUAUCGCGCAGAACUCCGAUUGCGAAGGCAGCAUGCCGGCUCCACACUGACGCUGAGGCACGAAAGCGUGGGUAUCGAACAGGAUUAGAUACCCUUGUAGUC